CCCCACCUGCGUCCCAGCCCCGCCCCUCCCCCCGGCGGCGGCGGCGGCGGCAGCGGCUGCGGCGGACGUGUUGUUUUGGCGGCGGCGCUGGCUGCUGAGGAGCCAACCGAGACCCAGCGCCUCACUAGCACCGGCUGCGGCGGGCCCACCGACCGCGUCGCCACAGUGUACUUUUCAGAGUAAACUUAAAUUCCAUAGGGCUAGUUGAAAGCAAAUUCUGUCACUCAAAGGAAAACUGGACUGUGUAUGAGGAGGAGGUAGGAUAGAAGGCCAGCGGCCCACAGGCUCCUGUUUCAGGCUGGUAGGAGGUAAGCUCUUAAGUGGAAGGGUGACCCUAGUUGCUUACCAUUCAGUAAGAUAGAAAGCUAGGAAGUUGCUAUUAAGUUUUAUAGUUCUGUGUGCAGACGCUGGAGGCUUUGGUGAUUUAAUCACUGCCCUGUGCUUAUUGAAAAUGUAUAGCAUGUUCAUCUUGCCUUCCAGGGAGGAUGACUUAGUAAGGGAUUCACAUGGAACCACUUGAUUCUCAGCAUAUGUAGACUGCGAUCUUAGGCCCAGCUGUGUAGCAUUUUAUUAUUUGGGAAACUGUGUUC
rnacentral:lncRNA from 1 species